ACACUGACGUCGCGACGCAUAUCAAUAAGCGGAGGAAAAGAAACUAACAAGGAUUCCCCUAGUAACGGCGAGUGAAGCGGGAAGAGCUCAAAUUUGAAAUCUUAAAGGGUUUCCCUUUACGAAUUGUAGUUUAAAGAAGUGUUUUCUGUUGAGGUUUUGGUAAAAGUUCUUUGGAAUAGGACAUCAUAGAGGGUGAGAAUCCCGUAUUUGACCUUUACUUUCAACUUUGUGAUACACUUUCAAAGAGUCGGAUUGUUUGGGAAUGCAGUCCAAAAUGGGUGGUAAAUUUCAUCUAAAGCUAAAUAUUGGCGAGAGACCGAUAGCGAACAAGUACCGUGAGGGAAAGAUGAAAAGAACUUUGAAGAGAGAGUUAAACGGUACGUGAAAUUGUCAAAAGGGAAGCGUUUGACACCAGUGUUGUUUUCUCGAAAAUCAAUUAAAGAACUGUUUAUGCUAAGUCGUUUAGACUUUAUCAGCUAACUGUUUAGUUUUGAGCUUUUCUUUAAUGCACUUUUCAGUUAACAAGUCAACAUCAAUUUCUUUUGCUGUAAAAAAGCUUGAGGAAGGUGGCUUGAGAUUCGUCUUAAGUGUUUAUAGCCUCUUGCCUAUGCAGUCGGAGAGACUGAGGUCUGCAGCGUAGAUCCUUCGGGGCUAAAUGCAUUUGUGCUAAGUUAUAGCAUUUUAUAGACAACUUGUUGACUAUGAUUUGUCUUGUAGCUUACUCGCUUAUGCUAUUUUACCUACGCUUAGGAUGUUGAUGUGAUACUGCGAGCA
rnacentral:rRNA from 1 species